rnacentral:rRNA from 1 species
UACGUAGGGGGCAAGCGUUGUCCGGAAUUAUUGGGCGUAAAGCGCGCGCAGGCGGCUUUGUAAGUCUAGUGUUUAAGCUCGGGGCUCAACCCCGAUACGCACCGGAAACUGCAAGGCUUGAGUACAGAAGAGGAAAGUGGAAUUCCACGUGUAGCGGUGAAAUGCGUAGAUAUCAGGAGGAAUACCGAUGGCGAAGGCAGGUCUCUGGGCUGACACUGACGCUCAUGCACGAAAGCGUGGGGAGCAAACAGG